ACAGCAUCAUAGACACCGCCAAGCAACAGGAGAACACUCUUAAUGAGAGAGUGGCCAGGAUAGAGAAAGAGAAGAGGUUGGUGGAGGAGUCGUUAGCGGAGGUGAGAGAGGAGGAGGAGGAGAUGUCACGAGCCAACCGAGCACUCACCACACGACUUGAGGACGUACAGAGGAACCUGAGUCGUGUGUG